rnacentral:rRNA from 1 species
AACGCUAGCUACAGGCUUAACACAUGCAAGUCGAGGGGCAGCAUGAACUUAGCUUGCUAAGUUUGAUGGCGACCGGCGCACGGGUGAGUAACACGUAUCCAACCUGCCGAUGACUCGGGGAUAGCCUUUCGAAAGAAAGAUUAAUACCCGAUGGCAUAGUUCUUCCGCAUGGUAGAACUAUUAAAGAAUUUCGGUCAUCGAUGGGGAUGCGUUCCAUUAGGUUGUUGGCGGGGUAACGGCCCACCAAGCCUUCGAUGGAUAGGGGUUCUGAGAGGAAGGUCCCCCACAUUGGAACUGAGACACGGUCCAAACUCCUACGGGAGGCAGCAGUGAGGAAUAUUGGUCAAUGGACGAGAGUCUGAACCAGCCAAGUAGCGUGAAGGAUGACUGCCCUAUGGGUUGUAAACUUCUUUUAUAUGGGAAUAAAGGAGCCUACGUGUAGGUUUUUGUAUGUACCAUACGAAUAAGGAUCGGCUAACUCCGUGCCAGCAGCCGCGGUAAUACGGAGGAUCCAAGCGUUAUCCGGAUUUAUUGGGUUUAAAGGGAGCGUAGGUGGAGGCUUAAGUCAGUUGUGAAAGUUUGCGGCUCAACCGUAAAAUUGCAGUUGAUACUGGGUUUCUUGAGUACAGUAGAGGUGGGCGGAAUUCGUGGUGUAGCGGUGAAAUGCUUAGAUAUCACGAAGAACUCCGAUUG